rnacentral:rRNA from 1 species
GAUGAACGCUAGCGAUAGGCUUAACACAUGCAAGUCGAGGGGCAGCAUGGUCUUAGCUUGCUAAGACUGAUGGCGACCGGCGCACGGGUGCGUAACGCGUAUGCAACUUGCCUCACAGAGGGGGAUAACCCGUCGAAAGACGGACUAAUACCGCGUACACUUGGGAUAGGGCAUCCUGACCCAAGGAAAUGAAAUUCGCUGUGAGAUAGGCAUGCGUCCCAUUAGCUAGUUGGUGAGGUAACGGCUCACCAAGGCGACGAUGGGUAGGGGAACUGAGAGGUUGAACCCCCACACUGGUACUGCGACACGGACCAGACUCCUACGGGAGGCAGCAGUGAGGAAUAUUGGUCAAUGGGCGAGAGCCUGAACCAGCCAAGUCGCGUGAAGGAUGACUGUCUUAUGGAUUGUAAACUUCUUUUAUACGGGAAUAACAAGAGCCACGUGUGGCUCCCUGCAUGUACCGUAUGAAUAAGCAUCGGCUAACUCCGUG